GACGAACGCUGGCGGCGUGCCUAAUACAUGCAAGUCGAACGCAGUGGGGACGGGUGAGUAACACGUGGGUAACCUCCCAUCAGAGGGGAUAAAACUUGGAAACAGGUGCUAAACCGAUACAGAUGGAUGGACCCGCGGGGCAUUAGCUAGUUGGUGAGGUAACGGCUCACCAAGGCCACGAUGCAUAGCCGACCUGGGAGGAGGAUCGGCCCAGCUGGGACUGAGACACGGCCCAGACUCCUACGCGAGGCAGCAUUAGGGAAUCUUCGGCAAUGGACGAAAGUCUGACCGAGAAAUGCCGCGUGAGUGAAGAUGGUUUUCGGAUCGUAAAACUCUGUUGUUAGAGAAGCGGUAUCUAACCAGAAAGCGACGGCUAACUACGUGCCAGCAGCCGCGGUAAUUC
rnacentral:rRNA from 1 species